rnacentral:rRNA from 1 species
GGACACGUGGUAUCCUGUCUGAAUAUGGGGGGACCAUCCUCCAAGGCUAAAUACUCCUGACUGACCGAUAGUGAACCAGUACCGUGAGGGAAAGGCGAAAAGAACCCCGGCGAGGGGAGUGAAAAAGAACCUGAAACCGUGUACGUACAAGCAGUGGGAGCACAGGUUUACCUGUGUGACUGCGUACCUUUUGUAUAAUGGGUCAGCGACUUAUAUUCUGUAGCAAGGUUAACCGUAUAGGGGAGCCGAAGGGAAACCGAGUCUUAACCGGGCGUUAAGUUGCAGGGUAUAGACCCGAAACCCGGUGAUCUAGCCAUGGGCAGGUUGAAGGUUGGGUAACACUAACUGGAGGACCGAACCGACUAAUGUUGAAAAAUUAGCGGAUGACCUGUGGCUGGGGGUGAAAGGCCAAUCAAACCGGGAGAUAGCUGGUUCUCCCCGAAAGCUAUUUAGGUAGCGCCUCGUGAAUUCAUCUCCGGGGGUAGAGCACUGUUUCGGCUAGGGGGCCAUCCCGGCUUACCAACCCGAUGCAAACUGCGAAUACCGGAGAAUGUUAUCACGGGAGACACACGGCGGGUGCUAACGUCCGUCGUGAAGAGGGAAACAACCCAGACCGCCAGCUAAGGUCCCAAAGUCAUGGUUAAGUGGGAAACGAUGUGGGAAGGCCCAGACAGCCAGGAUGUUGGCUUAGAAGCAGCCAUCAUUUAAAGAAAGCGUAAUAGCUCACUGGUCGAGUCGGCCUGCGCGGAAGAUGUAACGGGGCUAAACCAU